CCAUAAAAGGAAACUCAAUUCAACAAUUUCAAGCUAACAUACAAUGCCAUUCAAAAACCAUUCAAUAUCCAUACACAAUUGGUAUACAAUAAACUAAUAUUACCAAGUAAGCUUAUGCAAAAUGAACCAAAUUCACUAAAACAUUUACCAAGCACAUUGUCUCAAAACAUAACAUCAUCAAAACGUACUACAUUAUACCGUCCAUGUCACAAUUUCCAUACCUUAACCGC
rnacentral:lncRNA from 1 species